rnacentral:rRNA from 1 species
AUUGAACGCUGGCGGCAGGCUUAACACAUGCAAGUCGAGCGAGAGGCGGACGGGUGAGUGAUGACUGGGAAACUGCCUGAUGGAGGGGGAUAACUAAUGGAAACGGUUGCUAAUACCGCAUACCAUAAGAUGUGCCCAGCUUGGAUUAGCUAGUUGGUGCGGUAAUGGCGCACCUAGGCGCCGAGCCCUAGCUGGUCUGUGAGGAUGCACAGCCACACGGGAACUGAUACCCGGUCCAGACUCCUACGGGAGGCAGCAGUGGGGAAUAUUGCACAAUGGGCGCAAGCCUGAUUCAGCCAUGCCGCGUGUGUGAAGAAGGCCUUCGGUUUUUAAAGCACUUUCAGCUAGGAGGCGUUACCCGCAGAAUAAGCACCGGCUAACUCCGUGCCAGCAGCCGCGGUAAUAC